AUGAGGACCUUCACUUGGUGGUGCACCUUGGAGGACUUUCACUGCCCUUGGCGUGUGAGAAGAUAUUCUUCACAAGCCUUCAGACAAAACUGUCUUUAUCGGUCAUAUUGGUCAGAAAGGAUCUCAUCAAUCCAGAAGCAGAGAAUUUUGGAAACUACUCAGAAGCUCCUUCUUGCAAGCCACCAUCAGAUCUUCAGUCUGCAGAACUGCUCAAGGUCUCUGUUCUUCUCAUCACACUCACAGAGCAAGCAGAGUUUUCUGUACCCUGAAAAUGGAGAGAAGCCUAGUGCUGAACCCAUGUUCAUUUAUGAAAUGUGGAAGAUGUCCAGGUGCUGA
rnacentral:lncRNA from 1 species